rnacentral:rRNA from 1 species
GACGAACGCUGGCGGCGGGCUUAACACAUGCAAGUCGAACGGAAAGGCCCUGCUUGUGUGGGGUUCUCGAUUGGCGAACGGGUGAGUAACACGUGAGUAACCUGCCCUUGACUUUGGGAUAACUUCAGGAAACUGAGGCUAAUACCGUAUAGGAGCUCCUGCUGCAUGGUGGGGGUUGGAAAGUUUCGGCGGUUGGGGAUGGACGCGCGGCUUAUCAGCUUGUUGGUUGGGUAGUGGCUUACCAAGGCUGUGACGGGUAGCCGGCCUGAGAGGGUGACCGGGCACAUUGGGACUGCGAUACGGCGCAGACUCCUACGGGAGGCAGUAGUGGGGAAUAUUGCACAAUGGGCGGACGCCUGAUGAAGAAACGCUGCGUGCGGGAUGACGGUCUUCGGGUUGUAAACCGCUUUCGCUUGUGACGAAGCGUGAGUGACGGUAAUGGGUAAAGAAGCACCGGCUAACUACGUG